rnacentral:rRNA from 1 species
UAGCUAGUUGGUGGGGUAAGAUCCUACCAAGGCGACGAUCGGUAGCUGGUUUGAGAGGAUGACCAGCCACACUGGAACUGAGACACGGUCCAGACUCCUACGGGAGGCAGCAGUGGGGAAUAUUGGACAAUGGGGGGAACCCUGAUCCAGCAAUGCCGCGUGUGUGAAGAAGGCCUGAGGGUUGUAAAGCACUUUCAGUGGGGAGGAGGAUUGAUAGGUUAAGAGCUAAUUAAUUGGACGUUACCCACAGAGGAAGCACCGGCUAACUCCGUGCCAGCAGCCGCGGUAAUACGGAGGGUGCGAGCGUUAAUCGGAAUUACUGGGCGUAAAGCGUGCGUAGGUGGUUGAUUAAGUUAUCUGUAAAAUCCCCGGGCUCAACCUGGGAAGGCCAGAUAAGACUGAUGAACUCGAGUAUGGGAGAGGGUAGUGGAAUUUCCGGUGUAGCGGUGAAAUGCGUAGAGAUCGGAAGGAACACCAGUGGCGAAGGCGGCUACCUGGCCCAAUACUGACACUGAGGCACGAAAGCGUGGGGAGCAAACAGGAUUAGAUACCCUGGUAGUCCACGCCGUAAACGAUGUCAACUAGCUGUUGGUUAUAUAAAUAUAAUGAGUGGCGA